rnacentral:lncRNA from 1 species
GAAAGAUUUCAAUCAUUCUUUUCCCAGUUUUUUUCCUGAAUUGGCUGGUUGUAAGUCUUUAAUGUCAGGCUUAAUAUAUACACAGAUUUCUUAUUUAUUUUACAAUCAGUAUUAAUGUUCUUUGUGCAGGAUGACUCUGCCAAGAUGGGCACUCUACAACCACUGUGUCAGUGUAGGAGGGCUUCCAUACAGAGUUCUCAUUCCCAGGAAUCACCCAUGGACUUCCUCUUCCUUAUCUUCAGUUUGACUGCAAGAAUGUAUGGGAAAGAAGAAUGAGCACUUGACAGGCAUCCUGGUUUCUGAUCUCUGUUUGGGCACUAAAUAGAAGCAUGAUCUCAAUCAUGUAAUUAUUCCAGAGUUGUGUUAUUUUGAAGACUAGAAGCUUCCUAUUCAAGGGCCUGCCUUCAAAAAUUCAUAAGUGAAACAUGAAUCCCCUGAGUGUGGAGUGGACGGACCUAACAGACAUGGUCAUCUUCCCAAAUGCAUCUUCACCUGCCAAGUGGACAGACAUUGUGAUCUUUAAAAAACAUGCAAGAAAACAUGAUAAUUUGAAUUCUGAAUUCAUGGAAUUGGACUUAGAAAACAAUUGGGUUUUGGAGCUUGUAGCAGUAGAAUCAACUGGGAGGACCCAAUUUCAUCCAAUUUGUAGCUUGAUUUCAUCCAGCAAGACACACUUAAGC